UCUGAAAAUCAGACCGGACCGGCCGAUCUGAUCGGUUUAACCACAAAUCGGUGACUUUUACGGUUUGGUUCCACAUCAAAAACCGUCAGAAUCAAAACCAUUCUCAAACCGCUAAACCGACCGAGAACUGAUCGGUCGGACCAAACCGGGACCUGGCCGGUUUUGAAAAACGGCGUCGUUUUCCAUUCUGAUAGAAAAUGAAAUGGCCAGGUCUCCUGAGCAUCAACCCCUCGAGCCAUUCUUCAAUCUUUCUCCCCAAAACACAACCCUAGGUUAUAAGUCCCCCAUCGCCACAGGGCUCAGCGCCGCCGUUCAUUGCUCUCAAGCACCACCGUGUUUUCGUCCGAUCGUCCGCGCUUCUCACUCAUUCAAAAAUCGGUGAGUCUUCCUCGAGCUCGCCGUCAUUUGCUGCUUCGCUGGUCUUCGUUUGCUCGAACCCUAGCCUCCAUCACUCUCCUCUUCAAGCUGUGUCACCGCCACCGUCGAAUCUGGUCCAACCGCCGUCCCUACUAUUUCAGCAUCGUCGCAGCUCGUCUCUGCUGUCGCGUCGCAUAUGCUCCACUCUCCUCUGCCGUCGCGUCGCGCUGCGAAGGGGAAAGAAGGGGUGGAGGUCGCGGGAGGAGGCACGCGAAGGGUUAAGCCUUUGCUGCUUCUGCCGUGUUUGAGCUCGAAGACGGCCGCCAGUGCUACUACCUCUGUUGCUGCCUCUAUCGUGCCUUACCAUCAUGUUACCACUGAUUUCAUCUGCCCUCAUUCUUGUUCUACUUUAAAAUCAUGCUAAAUUUUUGUUUAUAGGGAGUGAAAAUGGCAUGUUACCUCAAAGAAGAAUGCUGGCAGCCCCAAGAAUGGCAAGCAAAGGAGCUUGAUGAGGCUUGUCACCCUUCAUUGGCCCUUUUCAUGGAUGAGAUCAAGAUUGGAUGAAAUCAAUAACAACAACAUCAACAGCAAGAGUUCUUUGCCUUCUGAUUCAA